UACGUAGGGUGCGAGCGUUGUCCGGAAUCAUUGGGCGUAAAGAGCGCGUAGGCGCCAGAUAAGUCCGGUGUGAAAGUCACAGGCUCAACCUGUGAAUGCCGCUGGAAACUGUCUGGCUAGAGUCCGGGAGGGGCGAGUGGAAUUCCUGGUGUAGCGGUGAAAUGCGCAGAUAUCAGGAGGAACACCAAUGGCGAAGGCAGCUCGCUGGAACGGUACUGACGCUGGAGGCGCGAAAAGCCGUGGGG
rnacentral:rRNA from 1 species